rnacentral:lncRNA from 1 species
UUCUGUUCUUGCUCUUCUUUAUUACUCCUAAGAAUGUCAAUUGCUGAUUGGUGAGUGUUUAUCAUUUCUGUCAGUUCCUGUUGAGACUUUUUACAACUUCUUAAUUCUAGUAAUAUAUCUGUAAGGGAUCCAUCCAAGACAACAUGUUUUGCCAACUGAGCUUCUUUAAGCAUUGGUAGACCACCCUUAGCACUAAGACGUCCAA